rnacentral:rRNA from 1 species
UGGGCGAAAGCCUGACCGAGCGACGCCGCGUGCGGGAUGAAGGCCUUCGGGUUGUAAACCGCUGUCGUUGGGGAGGAAGUGCAGGGGGGUUCUCCCCUCUGUUUGACCUAUCCAAGGAGGAAGUACGGGCUAAGUUCGUGCCAGCAGCCGCGGUAAGACGAACCGUACGAACGUUAUUCGGAAUUACUGGGCUUAAAGGGUGCGUAGGCGGCGCGGUAAGUUGGGUGUGAAAGCCCUCAGCUCAACUGAGGAACUGCACUCAAAACUACCGUGCUUGAGGGGGACAGAGGUAAGCGGAACUCAAGGUGGAGCGGUGAAAUGCGUUGAUAUCUUGAGGAACACCGGUGGCGAAGGCGGCUUACUGGGUCUCUUCUGACGCUGAGGCACGAAAGCUAAGGUAGCAAACGGGAUUAGAUACCCCGGUAGUCUUAGCUGUAAACGAUGAGCACUUGUUUGAAGGGUCCUCCAUAGCCUUUCAGACGUAGCGAAAGUGUUAAGUGCUCCGCCUGGGGA